rnacentral:rRNA from 1 species
GGUUAAGUUAGAAAGGGCGCACGGUGGAUGCCUUGGCACUAGGAGCCGAUGAAGGACGGGACGAACACCGAUAUGCUUCGGGGAGCUGUAAGCAAGCUUUGAUCCGGAGAUUUCCGAAUGGGGAAACCCACCACUCGUAAUGGAGUGGUAUCCAUAUCUGAAUACAUAGGAUAUGAGAAGGCAGACCCGGGGAACUGAAACAUCUAAGUACCCGGAGGAAGAGAAAGCAAAUGCGAUUCCCUGAGUAGCGGCGAGCGAAACGGGACCAGCCCAAACCAAGAGGCUUGCCUCUUGGGGUUGUAGGACACUCUGUACGGAGUUACAAAGGAACGAGGUAGAUGAAGAGGUCUGGAAAGGCCCGCCAUAGGAGGUAACAGCCCUGUAGUCAAAACUUCGUUCUCUCCUGAGUGGAUCCUGAGUACGGCGGAACACGUGAAAUUCCGUCGGAAUCCGGGAGGACCAUCUCCCAAGGCUAAAUACUCCCUAGUGACCGAUAGUGAACCAGUACCGUGAGGGAAAGGUGAAAAGCACCCCGGAAGGGGAGUGAAAGAGAUCCUGAAACCGUGUGCCUACAAGUAGUCAGAGCCCGUUAACGGGUGAUGGCGUGCCUUUUGUAGAAUGAACCGGCGAGUUACGAUCCCGUGCAAGGUUAAGCAGAAGAUGCGGAGCCGCAGCGAAAGCGAGUCUGAAUAGGGCGAAUUGAGUACGUGGUCGUAGACCCGAAACCAGGUGAUCUACCCAUGUCCAGGGUGAAGUUCAGGUAACACUGAAUGGAGGCCCGAACCCACGCACGUUGAAAAGUGCGGGGAUGAGGUGUGGGUAGGGGUGAAAUGCCAAUCGAACCUGGAGAUAGCUGGUUCUCUCCGAAAUAGCUUUAGGGCUAGCCUCAAGGUAAGAGUCUCGGAGGUAGAGCACUGAUUGGACUAGGGGGCCCCUACCGGGUUACCGAAUUCAGUCAAACUCCGAAUGCCGAUGACUUAUCCUUGGGAGUCAGACUGCGAGUGAUAAGAUCCGUAGUCGAAAGGGAAACAGCCCAGACCGCCAGCUAAGGUCCCAAAGUAUACGUUAAGUGGAAAAGGAUGUGGAGUUGCUUAGACAACCAGGAUGUUGGCUUAGAAGCAGCCACCAUUUAAAGAGUGCGUAAUAGCUCACUGGUCGAGUGACUCUGCGCCGAAAAUGUACCGGGGCUAAACGUAUCACCGAAGCUGCGGACUGUUCUUCGAACAGUGGUAGGAGAGCGUUCUAAGGGCUGUGAAGCAAGACCGGAAGGACUUGUGGAGCGCUUAGAAGUGAGAAUGCCGGUAUGAGUAGCGAAAGAGGGGUGAGAAUCCCCUCCACCGAAUGCCUAAGGUUUCCUGAGGAAGGCUCGUCCGCUCAGGGUUAGUCGGGACCUAAGCCGAGGCCGAAAGGCGUAGGCGAUGGAUAACAGGUUGAUAUUCCUGUACCACCUCCUCACCAUUUGAGCAAUGGGGACGCAGGAGGAUAGGGUAAGCGCGGUAUUGGAUAUCCGCGUCCAAGCAGUUAGGCUGGGAAAUAGGCAAAUCCGUUUCCCGUGAAGGCUGAGCUGUGAUGGCGAGCGAAUUAUAGUAGCGAAGUUCCUGAUUCCACACUGCCAAGAAAAGCCUCUAGCGAGGUGAGAGGUGCCCGUACCGCAAACCGACACAGGUAGGCGAGGAGAGAAUCCUAAGGUGAUCGAGAGAACUCUCGUUAAGGAACUCGGCAAAAUGACCCCGUAACUUCGGGAGAAGGGGUGCUCUGUUAGGGUGCAAGCCCGAGAGAGCCGCAGUGAAUAGGCCCAGGCGACUGUUUAGCAAAAACACAGGUCUCUGCGAAGCCGUAAGGCGAAGUAUAGGGGCUGACGCCUGCCCGGUGCUGGAAGGUUAAGAGGAGCGCUUAGCGUAAGCGAAGGUGCGAAUUGAAGCCCCAGUAAACGGCGGCCGUAACUAUAACGGUCCUAAGGUAGCGAAAUUCCUUGUCGGGUAAGUUCCGACCCGCACGAAAGGCGCAACGAUCUGGGCACUGUCUCAACGAGAGACUCGGUGAAAUUAUAGUACCUGUGAAGAUGCAGGUUACCCGCGACAGGACGGAAAGACCCCGUGGAGCUUUACUGCAGCCUGAUAUUGAAUGUUGGUACAGCUUGUACAGGAUAGGUAGGAGCCUUGGAAACCGGAGCGCCAGCUUCGGUGGAGGCAUCGGUGGGAUACUACCCUGGCUGUAUUGACCUUCUAACCCGCCGCCCUUAUCGGGCGGGGAGACAGUGUCAGGUGGGCAGUUUGACUGGGGCGGUCGCCUCCUAAAAGGUAACGGAGGCGCCCAAAGGUUCCCUCAGAAUGGUUGGAAAUCAUUCGCAGAGUGUAAAGGCACAAGGGAGCUUGACUGCGAGACCUACAAGUCGAGCAGGGACGAAAGUCGGGCUUAGUGAUCCGGUGGUUCCGCAUGGAAGGGCCAUCGCUCAACGGAUAAAAGCUACCCCGGGGAUAACAGGCUUAUCUCCCCCCAAGAGUCCACAUCGACGGGGAGGUUUGGCACCUCGAUGUCGGCUCAUCGCAUCCUGGGGCUGUAGUCGGUCCCAAGGGUUGGGCUGUUCGCCCAUUAAAGCGGUACGCGAGCUGGGUUCAGAACGUCGUGAGACAGUUCGGUCCCUAUCCGUCGCGGGCGCAGGAAAUUUGAGAGGAGCUGUCCUUAGUACGAGAGGACCGGGAUGGACGCACCGCUGGUGUACCAGUUGUUCUGCCAAGGGCAUCGCUGGGUAGCUAUGUGCGGACGGGAUAAGUGCUGAAAGCAUCUAAGCAUGAAGCCUCAAGAUGAGAUUUCCCAUUCCGCAAGGAAGUAAGAUCCCUGAAAGAUGAUCAGGUUGAUAGGUCUGAGGUGGAAGUGUGGCGACACAUGGAGCUGACAGAUACUAAUCGAUCGAGGACUUAACCAA